rnacentral:lncRNA from 1 species
CAGCCUGGAAAAAAUUUCUAAGCCCGAGCUUGGCCCGGCCCAUUUUUUUAAUAAAACACUAAAAUUUUAUUUUAAAAAUAAAAUAUUUUAAAAAUAUUUUAAAAUUAAAAAAAUUAAAAAUAUAUAUUUAUUAUAUUCGUGCCGGGCCUAAGCCCGGGCAAAAAAAGUGGUGCCCGAGGCCCGGCCUAUUUUCUAAAUGAGCCUCAUUUUUUUGCCCAAGCCCAUAUUUCGGGCUUAUAUUUUUACCCAAACCCUCCCAUAUUUCGGGUGGACCGUCAGGCCGAGCCAGGCCACCCGGCCCAUGAGCACCUCUAGUCAUAAUCAUAGGGGAAAAUGGAGGGAUUUCCGAUGUAAUCAAUGUAAUUUUUUUUCUCUAUUUCCACGCAACCAGCAUUGUAAGAGCCCAUUUUUGCUCGGGCCCGCAACCAAUAAACCCAAAUAAUAAAAACCCAAAAUUAAACAGUCCAAAAUUACAGUCCAAAAUGAAAGGCCCAAACAACAGCACUAGCCCAACUAAACCUGAACCCUAAGGGCCCAAUAGCCCACGACUAAUUUUCAGCAAAAGGGAGGGGCAGAAACCCUAAGGCGCGCCGCACGCCGCUUCACCUCCUCCCGCAUGCCCACCGCCGCUGAUCGCCAAUUGCUGGCCCUCCACGCGUGUCAGACCACCUGCAAGAAACAAGACAGAAACCAACAAAUAGCAAAAAAAAAAAACAAAUAGGAAAACAACAAACGAAACAGAGAUGAAGAGUUUGUAAUUUGGCUAUAAAAGCCACAAGCAAUUUCUUGUAGUUUUUUCUGGACACUCUUACAAACAUUGAAAAUAAAAAACCAAAACAUUGUCCUCUGUGUUCUUGUCUAAUUUAUUUAUUUAUUUUUUCAUAUUUUUUCUUUUACAAAUCUUUUUUUAAAUAUUAAUAAAAAGAAAAAAGGAAAGGGAAAGGGGAAUACCGGAGGUCGCCCGCAAAGCCCGUCGCCGGAGCCUUGUUCGGUCGCCGAAAUCGGGACGGGAGAGGGCAUGGCUUCUUCUUCUCCUUUCGGCCUUGAAGCCUAGGAGUUUAGGCCUUCAAGCGUUUCAAAAACGGACCAAAGGGACGAUCUUUGCGUUGCUCCGAUCACCGAGGACGGUGAGGGGCACGGCGGCGCCGGUGAUGGCCCCAUCGGCCGGAUUUAGAACCUGCGAGAGAUAGAGGGGCUGAGCCCUCUGUUUUUUUUCUUUGAAAAAUGAAGCAAAUCUUUUUUUUCUUUCUUUUUGAUAUUUAUAUUAGGUUAAACGGCGCCGUUUGAAGGAGGGGAGACCUGCGCAUGCUUGCCCUGAUGGGUAAUUUUCGCCUUUGGUCCCCCAAAUUCUGCGGCACCCUCAAUGGAGCCCUUUGUUUCCCUUAAUUUUGGCCACUGAAUUGUGCGCCCUUUCCAACUUGGUCCCGCGCAAAACAGUGUGCAUAAGGGGCGGGGAAAUUUCACAAUUGAUCCCUCGCGCUUUGAGCGCGCUUUAUUUUAGUCCCCUGGCACCCUAUUUUACUUAUUUGUAAUUUGGAGCCCUCUUUUUAGCCCGAUUCCAAUGUAGUCCCGAACCAUCAUCUUUUAUUUAUUUGCGAUUUAAACCUCGAAUUUUAGGCCCAAUUUCAAUUGCGUCCUAUUUCAUUUAAUUAACUUACUAUUCUUUAUUUAUUUAUUUUUAAAUUAAUUUAUUUGUUAUUUUUUUAAGAGCUCUUCUUUUAUUAUUAUGCAAUUUGAGUUUUACAUAUAUUAUUUAUUUUAAAUGUUUCACCUAAUAUUCUCUUAAAUUUUUUUAUUACAUUAUUUGUUUUAAACUACCAUAUAUAUAUUGUCC